UACGAAGGGUGCAAGCGUUACUCGGAAUUACUGGGCGUAAAGGGUGCGUAGGUGGUUGUUUAAGUCUGUUGUGAAAGCCCCGGGCUCAACCUGGGAAUGGCAAUGGAUACUGGACAGCUAGAGUGCGGUAGAGGGUAGUGGAAUUCCCGGUGUAGCAGUGAAAUGCGUAGAGAUCGGGAGGAACACCAGUGGCGAAGGCGGCUAUCUGGACGGUUUCUGACGCUAAGACGCGAAAGCGUGGGGAGCAAACAGG
rnacentral:rRNA from 1 species